GAUGAACGCUGGCGGCGUGCCUAAUACAUGCAAGUCGAGCGAACAGACGAGGAGCUUGCUCCUCUGACGUUAGCGGCGGACGGGGGAGUAACACGUGGAUAACCUACCUAUAAGACUGGGAUAACUUCGGGAAACCGGAGCUAAUACCGGAUAAUAUAUUGAACCGCAUGGUUCAAUAGUGAAAGACGGUUUUGCUGUCACUUAUAGAUGGAUCCGCGCCGCAUUAGCUAGUUGGUAAGGUAACGGCUUACCAAGGCAACGAUGCGUAGCCGACCUGAGAGGGUGAUCGGCCACACUGGAACUGAGACACGGUCCAGACUCCUACGGGAGGCAGCAGUAGGGAAUCUUCCGCAAUGGGCGAAAGCCUGACGGGGCAACGCCGCGUGAGUGAUGAAGGUCUUCGGAUCGUAAAACUCUGUUAUUAGGGAAGAACAAAUGUGUAAGUAACUAUGCACGUCUUGACGGUACCUAAUCAGAAAGCCACGGCUAACUACGUG
rnacentral:rRNA from 1 species